GACAGAGGGUGCGAACGUUGUUCGGAAUUACUGGGCGUAAAGGGCGCGUAGGCGGCCUGCUAAGUCAUACGUGAAAUCCCUCGGCUCAACCGAGGAACUGCGUCUGAUACUGGUUGGCUUGAAUUCGGGAGAGGGAUGCGGAAUUCCAGGUGUAGCGGUGAAAUGCGUAGAUAUCUGGAGGAACACCGGUGGCGAAGGCGGCAUCCUGGACCGAGAUUGACGCUGAUGCGCGAAAGCCAGGGGAGCCAAAGCGGG
rnacentral:rRNA from 1 species